GACGAACGCUGGCGGCGUGCUUAACACAUGCAAGUCGAACGGAAAGGCCUGCUUUCCCUUGUGGAUUGCGGGUACUCGAGUGGCGAACGGGUGAGUAACACGUGAGUGAUCUGCCCCCAACUUGGGUAUAAGCCUGGGAAACUGGGUCUAAUUCCCGAUAGGACUGCAGGGUGGUGCCUGUGGUGGAAAACGAUUUUCUAGUGGUUGGGGAUGAGCUCGCGGCCUAUCAGCUUGUUGGUGGGGUAAUGGCCUACCAAGGCGGCGACGGGUAGCCGGCUUGGGAGGGUGGACGGCCACAUUGGGACUGAGAUACGGCCCAGACUCCUACGGGAGGCAGCAGUGGGGAAUAUUGCACAAUGGGCGGAAGCCUGAUGCAGCGACGCCGCGUGGGGGAUGACGGCCUUCGGGUUGUAAACUCCUUUCGACCGCGAGGAAGCCACCUGGUUGGAAGGGUGGUGACGGUAGUGGUAGAAGAAGCACCGGCUAACUACGUG
rnacentral:rRNA from 1 species